rnacentral:rRNA from 1 species
UGGGGAAUUUUGGACAAUGGGCGAAAGCCUGAUCCAGCAAUGCCGCGUGUGUGAAGAAGGCCUUCGGGUUGUAAAGCACUUUUGUCCGGAAAGAAAUCCUUGGCUCUAAUACAGUCGGGGGAUGACGGUACCGGAAGAAUAAGCACCGGCUAACUACGUGCCAGCAGCCGCGGUAAUACGUAGGGUGCAAGCGUUAAUCGGAAUUACUGGGCGUAAAGCGUGCGCAGGCGGUUUGCUAAGACCGAUGUGAAAUCCCCGGGCUCAACCUGGGAACUGCAUUGGUGACUGGCAGGCUAGAGUAUGGCAGAGGGGGGUAGGAAUUCCACGUGUAGCAGUGAAAUGCGUAGAGAUGUGGAGGAAUACCGAUGGCGAAGGCCAGCCCCUGGGCAAUACUGACGCUCAUGCACGAAAGCGUGGGGAGCAAACAGGA